UGCUAUACAUGCAAGUCGAGCGAAUCGAUGGGAGCUUGCUCCCUGAUAUUAGCGGCGGACGGGUGAGUAACACGUGGGUAACCUGCCUGUAAGAUUGGGAUAACUCCGGGAAACCGGAGCUAAUACCGGAUAACAUUUUGAACCGCAUGGUUCAAAAUUGAAAGAUGGUUUCGGCUAUCACUUACAGAUGGACCCGCGGCGCAUUAGCUAGUUGGUGAGGUAACGGCUCACCAAGGCAACGAUGCGUAGCCGACCUGAGAGGGUGAUCGGCCACACUGGGACUGAGACACGGCCCAGACUCCUACGGGAGGCAGCAGUAGGGAAUCUUCCGCAAUGGACGAAAGUCUGACGGAGCAACGCCGCGUGAACGAUGAAGGCCUUCGGGUCGUAAAGUUCUGUUGUUAGGGAAGAACAAGUACCAGAGUAACUGCUGGUACCUUGACGGUACCUAACCAGAAAGCCACGGCUAACUACGUGCCAGCAGCCGCGGUAAUACGUAGGUGGCAAGCGUUGUCCGGAAUUAUUGGGCGUAAAGCGCGCGCAGGUGGUUUCUUAAGUCUGAUGUGAAAGCCCACGGCUCAACCGUGGAGGGUCAUUGGAAACUGGGGAACUUGAGUGCAGAAGAGGAAAGUGGAAUUCCAAGUGUAGCGGUGAAAUGCGUAGAGAUUUGGAGGAACACCAGUGGCGAAGGCGACUUUCUGGUCUGUAACUGACACUGAGGCGCGAAAGCGUGGGGAGCGAACAGGAUUAGAUACCCUGGUAGUCCACGCCGUAAACGAUGAGUGCUAAGUGUUAGAGGGUUUCCGCCCUUUAGUGCUGCAGCUAACGCAUUAAGCACUCCGCCUGGGGAGUACGGUCGCAAGACUGAAACUCAAUGAUAUUGGGCCCGGGGGGAAAC
rnacentral:rRNA from 1 species